rnacentral:rRNA from 1 species
CCUGUCGGUGUAACUGGCAUGUCGCGGCAUGUCCUGUCGGUGGUGAACGGGAUUCCCGGUGCUGCUUAGACUUAAUCGUCGAAGCAUGUGCCGUGUGUUUUUCCGUUUGCCGAUCUCUCCUACUCCGGUGCUCUUAAACGAGUGUCGAGGUAGGCCGACACGUUCACUUUGAACAAAUUAGAGUGCUUAAAGCAGGCUGAAAUAUCUGCCUGAAUAGUGGUGCAUGGAAUGAUAAAACAGGACCUCGGUUCUAUUUUGUUGGUUUUAGGAAUAUGAGGUAAUGAUCAAUGUGGACUGGCGGGGGCAUUCGUAUUGCGACGUUAGAGGUGAAAUUCUUGGAUCGUCGCAAGACGCACUAGAGCGAAAGCAUUUGCCAAGUAUGUCUUAAUUGAUCAAGAACGAAAGUUAGAGGUUCGAAGGCGAUCAGAUACCGCCCUAGUUCUAACCAUAAACGAUGCCAGCCAGCGAU